UUCGACGUAAAUGUUUUUCAAAAAAGACGCGGUUUGCAUAUGACCGUACGGACGCUAGAAACUGGCGUCUGAUUUUCAUGAACAUUGAACCCGGAAUUAAAAUGACAUUUCCUGAUCUGCCAGGAGGAGGGAUCCGGGUGGACGCCCUGCCGAGCGACUGAAAACGGAUCCAACUGAUAUCGUGUCGGCCCAGUUUGACUCCUUGUACUUGACGUCGGACGAGGGCGCAGAGAUGGCGAGGAGGCCCCGGGGGCGCCAUGUUGGAAAUCGCUGCGUUCGUUUUUCGAGCAGCAAACUAGAGACGACCAUGGCCUCACGGUGGUUUGUUUGCCGUCUGGAGCGAGCCGUUGAUCGAUUAUAGAUUUACUACAAUCAAGCUGCUGGUUUUUUUUUUCAGUUUUUUGGAAAGUCUUUCUUUCCAAAAAAACUUUUUUUUACUAAACUGUUACGAUGUGCAUCCUUAGUAUGUCUGUGGUGAUGAAUAAUAGUUUUGAGUUCAUGAUUGAGAAGUUAAGGCCUUGUCGACAUCACAUGAAAUAUGGAAUUGAAAGAUAUGAAAGCCAAACAACAGUUUUUGUCAAGAUGGAGAAUCUAAAGACACCAGAUGGCCUCAGACGGCCAGGGACUGUGGAUAAUCAAGAUGCACUGGAGUGUGAAUCCGAUGGCAGCCACUCCUCAAGGUUAUGAAGUCAUCGAAUGAGAUCAAGGAAAUUGGUAACAAACGAGGACAUCGAAGGGGUCAAUUCAGUCCAUGUGCAAUGCUUCACGUAAGAAAUGCAUGGCAGGCUAUUUGAAAGGUAGGAGUUCUGAUCUUGGGUACAAAAGAGUAAAGGUGUGAAAGCAAGCCAGACUGGAGAGUAAAUGGCUUGGGUUUCUCUUCGGUCGAGUUUGUGUGAAAAUGAACCCGACUGAUGGGAACCAGAGGGUUAGGGAUACCCUUUGGUUGGUUUUAACAAACAAAGGUUUUAACAAUCUCAAUCUUUACAAGUCUGACAGGUAAAGGGUUUGGAUCACCCUUCGGUUGGGUUUAAGUGAAAACGAACCUGAUCGACGGGUAAAGGGUUUGGGUCACCCUUCAGUUGGGUUUAAGUGAAAACAACCCUGACCAACGGGUAAAGGGUUUGGGUCACCCUUUGGUUGGGUUUGAGUGAAAAUAAACCUGACUGGCGGGUAAAGCUAACCAACCAGUCUUAGGUUUUUUCUGUUGAAAUAUGUGUAUGUUAGCCAUAUAAAGGUUACUAAGAAGGUAACUAUAAAAAUGGCAACACAGUGAUGACAGAAUCCGACAAGUCCUUUAGAUGACCCUCCCACUCCCCGACUGCUCCUGACAACGACUGACAGAAAAGACCUCCAUGGACUCCAUCAUCCAUGGAUGACAUCAGUGUCCCUGCUAUCGGGGCUCACAAGUCUUCAAGAAAUGCUGCAGGAAUCCUGGAUCAUCUCAUUUUUGUCUCUGGUUUUGCCCUUCAUCGUCCGACAGAGGAAAACGACGGAACUUGAAACAUUUAUCAAAACAACCUCAGUUUUCACUGGAUAAGUCUUCAGUUUGAUUCUUUGGCUCCAAUUAGACAUUGCAUUUUUUAUGGACAAUUUUUUUU